AGUGAACGCUGGCGGUAGGCCUAACACAUGCCAGUCGAACGGCAGCACAGUAAGAGCUUGCUCUUACGGGUGGCGAGUGGCGGACGGGUGAGGAAUACAUCGGAAUCUACUUUUUCGUGGGGGAUAACGUAGGGAAACUUACGCUAAUACCGCAUACGACCUACGGGUGAAAGCAGGGGAUCUUCGGACCUUGCGCGAUUGAAUGAGCCGAUGUCGGAUUAGCUAGUUGGCGGGGUAAAGGCCCACCAAGGCGACGAUCCGUAGCUGGUCUGAGAGGAUGAGCAGGCACACUGGAACUGAGACACGGUCCAGACUCCUAGGGGAGGCAGCGGGGGGGAAUAUUGGACAAUUGGCGCAAGCCUGCACGAGUCAUACCGCGUGGGUGAAUGAGGCCUUCGGGUUGUAGGGCUGUGUUGUUGGGAAAGAAAAGCAGAAGGUGAAUCCCUCGCUGUUCUGACGGUACCCAAAGAAUAAGCGCCGGCUAACUUCGUG
rnacentral:rRNA from 1 species